rnacentral:rRNA from 1 species
GACGAACGCUGGCGGCGUGCCUAAUACAUGCAAGUUGAGCGCUGAAGGUUGGUACUUGUACCGACUGGAUGAGCAGCGAACGGGUGAGUAACGCGUGGGGAAUCUGCCUUUGAGCGGGGGACAACAUUUGGAAACGAAUGCUAAUACCGCAUAAAAACUUUAAACACAAGUUUUAAGUUUGAAAGAUGCAAUUGCAUCACUCAAAGAUGAUCCCGCGUUGUAUUAGCUAGUUGGUGAGGUAAAGGCUCACCAAGGUGAUGAUACAUAGCCGACCUGAGAGGGUGAUCGGCCACAGUGGGACUGAGACACGGCCCAAACUCCUACGGGAGGCAGCAGUAGGGAAUCUUCGGCAAUGGACGAAAGUCUGACCGAGCAACGCCGCGUGAGUGAAGAAGGUUUUCGGAUCGUAAAACUCUGUUGGUAGAGAAGAACGUUGGUGAGAGUGGAAAGCUCAUCAAGUGACGGUAACUACCCAGAAAGGGACGGCUAACUACGUG